CUUGAACUCACUUUGUAGCCCAGGCUGGCCUGAAACUCACAGCGAUCCUCCUGCCUCAGCCUCCUGAGUGCUGGGAU
rnacentral:miRNA from 1 species